rnacentral:sRNA from 1 species
AAAAAAAAUUUCCCGACAAAAAAAAAUUUUGAAAACAUUUUCCCCGUAAAUUUUUUUCUUUUUGCGGGAAAAGAUUUACAAGGGAUUUUAAAAUGGUUUUAAAAGAUUUACAAGAGAUUUUAAAAGGGUUUAAAAGAUUUACAAGAGAUUUUAAAAGAAUUUUAAAAGAUUUACAAGCGAUUUUAAAAGGCUUUAAAAGACUUACAAGAGUUUUUUAAAGAUUUUUAAAGGGUUUAAAAGUGUUUUAAAAGAUUUACAAGGGAUUUUUAAAGGGUUUUAAAAGAUGUACAAGAGUUUUAAAAAGAUUUUAAAAGAAAUUAUAAGAAAACCCUUUAAAAACUCUUGUAAAUCUUUUUAAAACCUUUUGAAAAGGUUCACAAGAGUUUUAAAAUUGUUCAGAAAGAGUUGUAAAUAUUUUAAAUACUUACAAUUCUUUUUCUAAAAGUUAAAAAAUGCUUGUAAAGACUUUAUAAGAGUUUUUAAAGGAUUUACAAAGGUUUAAAAUCCUUGUAAAUCCUUUUAAAACUCUUUAAAAAACUCUUCUAAAUCAUGUUUUACCCUUUUAUAAGCUUUUAAAAUCCUUGUAAAUCAUGUUUUACCCUUUUAUAAGCUUUUAAAAUCCUUGUAAAUCAUUUUAUACCACUUACUUAUCCUUUAAAAACGAUUGUAAACCAUGCAAAUAUUUUUUAAAAAUCCCUUGUAAAUCAUUCUUUGACACUUACUUAUGCUUUAAAAACGAUUGUAAAUCAUGUUAACCCCUUUUAAAAUCUCUUAUAAAUCAUUCAAUGUCACUUACUUAUGCUUUAAAACGAUUGUAAACCAUAUAAACACUUUUAAAAUUCCUUGUAAAUCAUUUUAUGCCACUUACUUAUGCUUUAAAAACGAUUGUAAAUCAUGUUUUAUCCUUUUAUAAGCUUUUAAAAUCCCUUGUAAAUCAUUCCAAUGCCACUUACUUAUGCUUAAAAAAACAUUGUAAACCAUGCUAACCCUUUUUAAAAAUCCUUGUAAAUCAUUUUAUGCCACUUACUUAUGCUUUAAAAACGAUUGUAAAUCAUGUUUUACCCUUUUAUAAGCUUUUAAAAUCCCUUGUAAAUCAUUCAAUGCCACUUACUUAUGCUAAAAAACGAUUGUAAAUUAUGCUAACCCUUUUUAAAUCCCUUGUAAAUCAUUCUAUGCCACUUACUUAUGCUUUAAAACGAUUGUAAAUCAUUUUUUACCCUUUUAUAAGUUUUUAAAAUCUUUUGUAACUCAUUCAAUGCCACUUACUUAUGCGUAAAAAACGAUUGUAAAUCUUGUAAAACUAUUGUAAAAAGUUUUAAAAUGAUUUAUAAAGGGGUUUAAAGUAUUUACCUAUGUUUUUAAAGACUUUAUAAAGAUUUUAAGAGGUUUUAAAAUGAUUUACAAGGGUUUUUAGCAACUACCAAAGCUUUUUAAAAAACUUUACAAGGAUUUUUAAAAGCAUUUUUUUUGCAGGGAAAAAAAAUUUACGAGAAAAAAUUUUGGCGGGAAAAUUUUUUUUUGGCGGGAAUUUUUUUUUUUGGCAGGAAAAAAGGUUUGGCGGAAAUUUUUUUUGGCGGGAAAAAUAAAAUUUGGCGCCAAAAAUUUGGCGCCAAAAAUUUGGCGGGAAACUUCCAGUUUCUAAUUUCAUGUUCUUAUUAGAUGAGGGUAAUUUGGUCAUUCUGUUCAAGAGAAGAGAUAUUUUUUAAAAUGAACAAUAUAAAAGGGUAUUGUUGCAAAAGGGUAGUAAAAAAAUGAUAGUUUUGCAAAUCUCCCCUUAAUAAAAUGAUAUCAAGAUAUAAUAUUAACAGGGUAGAGGAAUUUAUACCGAACAGUUGGCAUCCAAAUCUUUCGAACUACCAAGCUUCAGGGGAAUCAACUGACGAGGAGCGUCUUCAACAACUUCUUCAUCCAUCAACGGACCUUCUUGAAUUGCUGGGGCUGCUUGCAAAACAACAAGCUGAAGAGCGUAUAACAGACCUUGAACAGCAACACAAGUAGUAGCAAGUUGUUCAACUUCCCUCUCUUUAAUUAUAGUCAUCAUCAUCUCAAAGGACAUCAGCCCCCAAGAAUAAGCAAGAAAUCCCUCCAAAUGUUCUGACAUCUCAGCGUGGUCCUUCACUAUGUUUGGGUAAUAAGAAGUAGGAAGAAGAAACCCGUCAACAAAAGUCAGGCACGCGUAUCUCAGUCUUAUAUCUGGGGCUGCUUGCAAAACAACAACUCUCCAUAAGGAAAGUUGUUCGGAGCCGCUUUGGUUCUCUAAAAACCUUUAUCUUUCAGACUGUGUUUUAAUAAGAGAAUGAAGGGAUAUAACUCACUAUAUAGAAAGAGAAAUGAUGAUGACGAUUGGUUUCCCCAAAAAUCAAUAAAUAAAUAACA